GGGUUGUGAGGUUAAGCGACUAAGCGUACACGGUGGAUGCCCUGGCAGUCAGAGGCGAUGAAGGACGUGCUAAUCUGCGAUAAGCGUCGGUAAGGUGAUAUGAACCGUUAUAACCGGCGAUUUCCGAAUGGGGAAACCCAGUGUGAUUCGUCACACUAUCAUUAACUGAAUCCAUAGGUUAAUGAGGCGAACCGGGGGAACUGAAACAUCUAAGUACCCCGAGGAAAAGAAAUCAACCGAGAUUCCCCCAGUAGCGGCGAGCGAACGGGGAGGAGCCCAGAGCCUGAAUCAGUGUGUGUGUUAGUGGAAGCGUCUGGAAAGGCGCGCGAUACAGGGUGACAGCCCCGUACACAAAAAUGCACAUACUGUGAGCUCGAUGAGUAGGGCGGGACACGUGGUAUCCUGUCUGAAUAUGGGGGGACCAUCCUCCAAGGCUAAAUACUCCUGACUGACCGAUAGUGAACCAGUACCGUGAGGGAAAGGCGAAAAGAACCCCGGCGAGGGGAGUGAAAAAGAACCUGAAACCGUGUACGUACAAGCAGUGGGAGCACGCUUCGGCGUGUGACUGCGUACCUUUUGUAUAAUGGGUCAGCGACUUAUAUUCUGUAGCAAGGUUAACCGAAUAGGGGAGCCGAAGGGAAACCGAGUCUUAACUGGGCGUUAAGUUGCAGGGUAUAGACCCGAAACCCGGUGAUCUAGCCAUGGGCAGGUUGAAGGUUGGGUAACACUAACUGGAGGACCGAACCGACUAAUGUUGAAAAAUUAGCGGAUGACUUGUGGCUGGGGGUGAAAGGCCAAUCAAACCGGGAGAUAGCUGGUUCUCCCCGAAAGCUAUUUAGGUAGCGCCUCGUGAACUCAUCUCCGGGGGUAGAGCACUGUUUCGGCAAGGGGGUCAUCCCGACUUACCAACCCGAUGCAAACUGCGAAUACCGGAGAAUGUUAUCACGGGAGACACACGGCGGGUGCUAACGUCCGUCGUGAAGAGGGAAACAACCCAGACCGCCAGCUAAGGUCCCAAAGUCAUGGUUAAGUGGGAAACGAUGUGGGAAGGCCCAGACAGCCAGGAUGUUGGCUUAGAAGCAGCCAUCAUUUAAAGAAAGCGUAAUAGCUCACUGGUCGAGUCGGCCUGCGCGGAAGAUGUAACGGGGCUAAACCAUGCACCGAAGCUGCGGCAGCGACGCUUAUGCGUUGUUGGGUAGGGGAGCGUUCUGUAAGCCUGUGAAGGUAUACUGUGAGGUAUGCUGGAGGUAUCAGAAGUGCGAAUGCUGACAUAAGUAACGAUAAAGCGGGUGAAAAGCCCGCUCGCCGGAAGACCAAGGGUUCCUGUCCAACGUUAAUCGGGGCAGGGUGAGUCGACCCCUAAGGCGAGGCCGAAAGGCGUAGUCGAUGGGAAACAGGUUAAUAUUCCUGUACUUGGUGUUACUGCGAAGGGGGGACGGAGAAGGCUAUGUUGGCCGGGCGACGGUUGUCCCGGUUUAAGCGUGUAGGCUGGUUUUCCAGGCAAAUCCGGAAAAUCAAGGCUGAGGCGUGAUGACGAGGCACUACGGUGCUGAAGCAACAAAUGCCCUGCUUCCAGGAAAAGCCUCUAAGCAUCAGGUAACAUCAAAUCGUACCCCAAACCGACACAGGUGGUCAGGUAGAGAAUACCAAGGCGCUUGAGAGAACUCGGGUGAAGGAACUAGGCAAAAUGGUGCCGUAACUUCGGGAGAAGGCACGCUGAUAUGUAGGUGAAGUCCCUCGCGGAUGGAGCUGAAAUCAGUCGAAGAUACCAGCUGGCUGCAACUGUUUAUUAAAAACACAGCACUGUGCAAACACGAAAGUGGACGUAUACGGUGUGACGCCUGCCCGGUGCCGGAAGGUUAAUUGAUGGGGUCAGCGCAAGCGAAGCUCUUGAUCGAAGCCCCGGUAAACGGCGGCCGUAACUAUAACGGUCCUAAGGUAGCGAAAUUCCUUGUCGGGUAAGUUCCGACCUGCACGAAUGGCGUAAUGAUGGCCAGGCUGUCUCCACCCGAGACUCAGUGAAAUUGAACUCGCUGUGAAGAUGCAGUGUACCCGCGGCAAGACGGAAAGACCCCGUGAACCUUUACUAUAGCUUGACACUGAACAUUGAGCCUUGAUGUGUAGGAUAGGUGGGAGGCUUAGAAGUGUGGACGCCAGUCUGCAUGGAGCCGACCUUGAAAUACCACCCUUUAAUGUUUGAUGUUCUAACGUGGACCCGUGAUCCGGGUUGCGGACAGUGUCUGGUGGGUAGUUUGACUGGGGCGGUCUCCUCCUAAAGAGUAACGGAGGAGCACGAAGGUUGGCUAAUCCUGGUCGGACAUCAGGAGGUUAGUGCAAUGGCAUAAGCCAGCUUGACUGCGAGCGUGACGGCGCGAGCAGGUGCGAAAGCAGGUCAUAGUGAUCCGGUGGUUCUGAAUGGAAGGGCCAUCGCUCAACGGAUAAAAGGUACUCCGGGGAUAACAGGCUGAUACCGCCCAAGAGUUCAUAUCGACGGCGGUGUUUGGCACCUCGAUGUCGGCUCAUCACAUCCUGGGGCUGAAGUAGGUCCCAAGGGUAUGGCUGUUCGCCAUUUAAAGUGGUACGCGAGCUGGGUUUAGAACGUCGUGAGACAGUUCGGUCCCUAUCUGCCGUGGGCGCUGGAGAACUGAGGGGGGCUGCUCCUAGUACGAGAGGACCGGAGUGGACGCAUCACUGGUGUUCGGGUUGUCAUGCCAAUGGCACUGCCCGGUAGCUAAAUGCGGAAGAGAUAAGUGCUGAAAGCAUCUAAGCACGAAACUUGCCCCGAGAUGAGUUCUCCCUGACCCUUUAAGGGUCCUGAAGGAACGUUGAAGACGACGACGUUGAUAGGCCGGGUGUGUAAGCGCAGCGAUGCGUUGAGCUAACCGGUACUAAUGAACCGUGAGGCUUAACCUUACAACGCCGAAGGUGUUU
rnacentral:rRNA from 1 species